rnacentral:rRNA from 1 species
UACGUAGGGUGCAAGCGUUAAUCGGAAUUACUGGGCGUAAAGCGAGUGUAGGCGGUUGCCCAAGUCAGGUGUGAAAGCCUUGAGCUCAACUCAAGAAAUGCACUUGGUACUGGGUGGCUAGAGGACCGGAGAGGAUAGUGGAAUUCCCAGUGUAGUGGUGAAAUACGUAGAGAUUGGGAAGAACACCAGUGGCGAAGGCGGCUAUCUGGACGGUUACUGACGCUAAGACUCGAAAGCGUGGGGAGCAAACAGG